CGGAGGAUGCGAGCGUUAUCCGGAUUUAUUGGGUUUAAAGGGUGCGUAGGCGGGCUUUUAAGUCAGCGGUAAAAUUCGGGGCUCAACCCCGUCCGGCCGUUGAAACUGGGGGCCUUGAGUGGGCGAGAAGAAGGCGGAAUGCGUGGUGUAGCGGUGAAAUGCAUAGAUAUCACGCAGAACCCCGAUUGCGAAGGCAGCCUUCCGGCGCCCUACUGACGCUGAGGCACGAAAGUGCGGGGAUCGAACAGGAUU
rnacentral:rRNA from 1 species